GGCCAGACUCCUACGGGAGGCAGCAGUGAGGGAUAUUGGGCAAUGGGGGAAACCUUGACCCAGCGACGCCGCGUGAGGGAAGACGGUCUUCGGAUUGUAAACCUCUGUCUUUGGGGACGAAAAAGGACGGUACCCAAGGAGGAAGCUCCGGCUAACUACGUGCCAGCAGCCGCGGUAAUACGUAGGGAGCGAGCGUUGUCCGGAAUUACUGGGUGUAAAGGGAGCGUAGACGGCGACGCAAGUCUGGAGUGAAAGCCCGGGGCCCAACCCCGGGACUGCUCUGGAAACUGCGUCGCUGGAGUACGGGAGGGGCAGGCGGAAUUCCUGGUGUAGCGGUGGAAUGCGUAGAUAUCAGGAGGAACACCGGCGGCGAAGGCGGCCUGCUGGACCGUGACUGACGUUGAGGCUCGAGAGCGUGGGGAGCAAACAGGAUUAGAUACCCUCGUAUGA
rnacentral:rRNA from 1 species